rnacentral:rRNA from 1 species
GACGGAGGGUGCAAGCGUUGUUCGGAAUUACUGGGCGUAAAGCGUACGUAGGUGGCGGAUUAAGUCGAAUGUUAAAGCCUGGGGCUCAACCCCAGAGAUGCAUUCGAUACUGGUUUGCUAGAGGGUGAUAGAGGAAAGCGGAAUUCCCAGUGUAGCGGUGAAAUGCGUAGAUAUUGGGAGGAACAUCAGUAGCGAAGGCGGCUUUCUGGGCCACACCUGACACUGAGGUACGAAAGCGUGGGGAGCAAACGGG